AAUUUAUGGAUGACCCCUCAACUCUUACUAAUCCUUCUUUGUUUAACCGUUUUUUUCAUUGUUUCAAAUUUUAAUUUUUUACUGUUAACUAAUUUUGUUUUAAUCAACAUGAAACAGGACUCAAUUCAGUUACUGGACAGUUAACUCAAUGGCUAACAUCACUUGGACCCUCGUUUUGAAAAAAGUUACUCUAGUUCAAGUUGGAUAAACGACUAACAUGUAAGCUGCUAAUGCUUACCCAAUAGGCUGGAGCCUUUUGCUUUUCACUAAUCACCUUUAACAUUUACCAUGCCUUAUGGUUAAAUAUGUUUAUUAUAAUACAUUUGUUCAUCAGCUAAUCGCUCAAGAUUGACCUCACUUGUGGUCUCUACAGAAAGCUAAUGGCACAGUUAAUGAGGCUUACUAGUUUUUAGUGGUAAAGAUAUUGGAUUUGUUUUUCAACCUUUAACACCAUAAUCUUCAUAGUCAGUGUCAAAGAAUCAUCUGUUAAUCCCACUACUGUCAUGGGGUUUGUAAUCACUUUUGGCUUGGAUUAUUCUGGCCCCACCUCAACAUCUUACCAUUCACUGAAAUUUCAAGAUUUUCUGUUGAACUUUUUUGUCAAGUUUAACAACCUAUAUCUGUAGUAUGCGUAAAUGAACGAGAUAAAGAGGGAGAAAUGAUGAAAUCAAAUAUAAAAUGAUUUACCAUGAAAAGAUAGAGAAACUAGCAGCCUUGCAGUGACAAAAUUUGUAUUGCUACUAUUUAAGCUAUUAAAAUAUGUUAAUAUCUUAUAUUGUAGCGGUUAAAAUAUUCAGUUAAAUUAAUAAAAGAAACAUUAAGAUGAUCAUUUUUGAUGUUGAAAAUCACGAUAUUUUGGUGAAUGGUAAGGUUUACUAUUAAACUGUCACGAAUACUGUUAACUGUUUUUAUUAUCAAUAUAAAUAUUUCAUUGGAAAAAGGAGACAAGAAUUGAGCGAUUUUGGCUGUUGAUAAAGUUAUUGGUUUUUUAAUAAACUGUAAAAUGUCAAAUAUAAGUGACCAACAACAAUUUGUGAACAUUUUUCUUGGCAGAAGAAGACAUUGACCAGUUUAUUUUAAAAUAUGCUUUUGGUGACCUCAAAUUAAGGAGACAAAAAACUGGUGACCAGCAAUUUCGGGAAUUUCAAGAAUGCUUAACCAAAGUAUUUUGGUAACAUAUCGUUUAUCCUGUGGAUGGUUUUAUGAGAAUUGAUGAAAACUAUUAUGAUAAACUGUUUGCUUAAUGUGUGUUUUAAUCAUUGGCUUUAUAUAGAAUUUUUGAGAAGAAGAAAUGAAAAAGUAAAAAAGACUUUGGCCAAAUCUUCAAAUUGCUUUUUUACUCUUCACCUAGCUAUUGGUCAGUUGAGAUGAAAAGUGCAAUAUGAAAAAAAUCAUAUUGACACAGAAUUGAGAUUAAUCAAAAGAUGGUUUUUAUUGAGAGUUAUGAUCAAUAUAGGAUGUUUAGGUUGAGUGAUGAUAACAAAAGAUGAUGAUGAUGAUAAUGAUGAGAUGUUCAUAAUGGAUAGAAACUGUUGAUGAUAGAGAUAAUAAGAAAGCAAAGUGAUGAAACCCUUGAGAUGAGCAAAAAAAGAAGCAAAGAAAAGGCUAAAUGUUAAGACUUUUAUUCUGUUCACUUCAGAAUUUCCAAGUUUUUUGUUCAUGAUUCUUGUUGUUUUUGUUUUUUUAUUUUGUUGCGCUGUUGCCUCUUUUGUUCAUUGUGAUUACAGUAUAAAAUGAAUGAAAAUAAUGAUGGAUAAAAUAUUAGUAAAGGUAACAAAUUAUCUAGAAGUAAAAGUGAAUCCCAUGA